AACUGAUUGACAAAACCAAAAAAAAA
rnacentral:sRNA from 1 species